GGAGGCUGGCGGCGGGCAGUGCCCUCGCCAACCCGGUCAGGUCCGGAAGGAAGCAGCCGUAACGAGUUUCGCCUGGGUCGCUUGUCCAGUCUCCCAC
rnacentral:SRP_RNA from 1 species